AGUUCUCUGUUGGUGAAAAAGUUUGGGCAUUGUAUAAGGAUGGACAUUCCUACAAGGCCAGGAUUAUAAGGAUUAACAAAAAUUCCUGCAGAGUGAAGUAUAUUCAAGAUGGAGUGGUCCAUGAUGUGGAUGGUGAAGGACUCGUUACUUAUGGUUGAAUUACCUGAAUUACCAGAAAUUUUCAUCUUAUGAACACAAUAGAGAUGUUAGAUCUUAAUCAAACUUGCACUUGUAUCAAUCCUUACGAGAACCAGUCAGAUUCCAUAUUACAAAAUCCUAUGAACUGAUUUUAUGUCAAAUUAACUCCCUCUGUUUCAAAUUAAAAUAGGUAUGUCCCAGUAACUAAUGAAGAUGCUGAUUUGAAAACUAUCGGGGGAGAAUAAUUAACUAUUACAAAUAACCUCACUUUAUUUUUAUGUUUUAUAUAUAUUGCAUGCAUGACCAUCUUGUUUUUCUGUGCUAGCAUCUUUUAUACUUUGUAAUACCAUUUUGUAAUUUCAUCCAGUUUUGUGAGGCAUAGUUUUAUUUGAUUUUUGAACUGGUUGUGACUUUGGGUAGAUUGACGGGGGCAGUCUGUCGCGUCCAUUACCUCCCUUUGUUUCAAAUUAAAAUACUAGGUUUAUUUCAGUAAGUAAUAAAGAUGUUUUGAAAUUUGAUUUAUACCCUGGGAUGGACUCGGACAAUCAGGGUACAUAACUAUGGACUAAUUUUUGUCAGAUUACCUCCCUUUGUUUCAAAUUAAAAUAGAUAUAUCUCAGUAGCUAAUGAAGAUACUGAUGUGGAAAUUCAUUAAUGAUGAAAGAUGGGCUCAGACAAUCAGGAAAGAUAACUGUUGACAAAUUACCUCCCUUUAUUUUUAUAUUGCAUAUAUUGCAUGGCCCUCUUGUUUACUGACCUAGCUUCAUAACUACUUUGUAAUACCAUUUUAUGACUUUAUCCAGUUCAUGAAAUUCAUCCAUUUGAUUUGGUUUUUAAUAUAAAGAUGAACAGGAUUUAAAUUGUAUGCAUUUAUCCUGUCAUGUAUUGUCAUUUUAUUAAAAAUAUGAUAUAAUUGGUAUCAUGCUCUUGGUUUAAUUAUUGAACUGAUCAGUUUAAGUCGUGUGGCCCCUGAAAGUUUUAAUAUCCCCGCCGAUGAAAUUGGGAGAGGGGUAUUGAAAUGGCAUUGUUUGUCCGUCAGUCAGUCGGUCCGUCCGUCCGCAGCCAUUUCUCAGUAAACUAGAAGGUAGAAUUUCAGGAAACUUAAAUUAAACAUGAACCAACAUACUGCGAUGAUGCCCAUCAAGGUUUUUAUCGGAUUGGUCAAUUUCCCUUAGAGUUUUUGCCCUUGAUUUAAUGAAAAAUCCACGUCUGCAGCCAUUUCUCAGUAACAAGCUGGUAGAAUUUCAUAAAACUAGAAAUAAAUAUAAAACAUACUUCGAUGAUGCCUGUCUUUUUUUUCAAUUGGUCAAUUUUCCAUAGAGUUAUUGCCCUUUAAUUGAAUGUUUAAAAAUCUACAGAUUUGUACAUAACAAACCAACCCAUUGGUAGAAUUUCAUUAAACUUCUUUCAUUCUUUUCCAUGAACAUUUAGUAUAAACAUCUGAAGUUUUGUACCCACACCUGGCCACCACCUUACCUUGAUCACAUCCCCUCCCCCUGCCCCUCCCAUCCACCCUCAAAUUAUUUUUUUUUUAUUAUUUUAUUUUCAAACGUUCCAUGAAUAUUUAUUAGCAUGCAAAGUUGUACUGUUCGCCAACCUCACUCUCGGUCUUGCCCAGCACCCCGAUAAUGCAUCAACAUCCCCCACCCUUUUUUUAAACUUUUGUGAUCACCCUUCGUCCGUCUCAGACCGUCCGUCCGUGUGUGCGUCCGUCAACAAUUUCUUGUCUGCACGAUAGUGGUUUCAUUUAUGAUUUUAUUUUAACCAAACUUGCACACAACUUGUAUCACCAUAAGAUCUCGGUUCCUUUCUUGAACUGGCCAGAUCCCGUUAUGGGUUCCAGAGUUAUGGCCCCUGAAAGGGCCAAUAUUAGCUAUUUUGACCUUGUCUGCACAAUAGCAGCUUUAUUUAUGAUUUGAUUUUAACCAAACUGGCACACAACUUGUAUCACCAUAAGAUCUUGGAUCCUUUUUUGAACUGGCCAGAUUCCUCUAUGGGUUCCAGAGUUAUGGCCUCUGAAAGGACCAGAAUUAGCUAUUUUGACCUUGUCUGCACAGUAGCAGCUUCAUUUAUGAUUUGAUUUUAACCAAACUUGCACACAACUUGUAUCACUAUAAGAUCUUGGUUCCUUUCUUGAACAGGCGAGAUUCCAUUAUGGGUUCCAGAGUUAUGGCCCCUGAAAGGGCCAGAAUUAGCUAUUUUGACCUUGUCUGCACAAUAGCAGCUUCAUUUAUGAUUUGAAUUUAAUCAAACUUGCACAAAACUUGUGUCACCAUAAGAUCUUGAUUCCUUAGUUGAACCGGCCAGAUCCCGUUAUGGGUUCCAGAGUUAUGGCCCCUAAAAGGGCCAAAAUUAGCUAUUUUGACCUUGUCUGCACAAUAGCAGCUUCAUUUAUGAUUUGAAUUUAAUCAAACUUGCACAAAACUUCAUUUAUGGUUUUAUUUGAUACAAACUUGCAAAAUAACUUCACAACAACAAAAAUUCUUGGAUUCCAUGACAAAUCAGAUCCAAGCGUAGGUUCAGAGUUAUUUUAUAUCUGAUUACCUCUCCUGAUUGUAAUCAAAAUGGAUUUAUAUCAGUAGGUACUUAUAGGACUUAUUUGAAAUUUCAUUAUUGUCAUUAGUUGGACUGAGCCAAUUAGGGUAGAUAACUAUGGAUUUAUUUUAUGUCAGAUUACCUCCCUUUAUUUCAAAUUAAAAUGGGUAUAUCUCCAUAACUAAUGAAGAUACUGAUCUGAAAUUUCAUUUAUGUCAACAGAUUUAUUUGGCAGAUCCUUCUUUUGUUCACUUACAAUACUUUUCUUUUUAAUUACUUCCCUUUUACGUUGCUAUAAAUAGCUUAUUUUUAGUAACUUUUUAUAUUAUUAGCCAUAGGGAAAAACUGAGACCACUUUUCUGUGAUACAACAUGGAUGGUACCUGUAUAUUUACAAAUCACUAUUUUAUUAUUUUUUUUAUACAUUAAUAGAAAAUAAGUGUUGUUUGUAAAUGUAUGAAGUUCAUUUUAUUUGUAAAUUAAAAAUAUUUUUUUAAAUCUGAAAUCAUUAAUCUAUUCAGCACCUGAAUAACUUCAUAUCACAUUCUUGAUAUUUCGUUUCGCAUCAAGAUUGUGUAACUGACAGUUGCUGAUAAUUUUAAGUAAUAAGCAGAUUUUAUUUGUCUACCAAUGUGAUUGCUUUAAAACUUAAUUCCUGACAUAAAGGUAUAUGUUCUUAUUUCAUAUAAGUAACCUCCCCUGACUUUAUUCAAUCAAAGCUUUGAAAUGUCUGAUGGUUGCGGGCUUUUUGGUAGAUUUUUUUUCUGUUUUUUCAUUGUUUCAAUUCAAGUCACUGUGUUUUUAGCUCUACUAUUCUAUGAAUAGUCGACUCGCCCAUGCGUCCGCAAUGGCGUCCGCGUCCCGAUUUGGUUAAGGUUUUGUAUGUAAGCUGGUAUUUCAGUAACCACUUGUGGGAAUGGAUUGAAACUUCACACACUUAUUCACUGUGAUAAACUGACUUGCAUUGCACAGGUUCCAUAACUCUAUUUUGCUUUUUUACAAAAUUAUGCCCCUUUUUCGACUUAAUUUUUGGUUAAGGUUUUGUUUGUAAGCUGUUAUCUCAGUACUUACUAAUGGGAAUGGAUUGAAACUUCACAUACUUGUUCACUGUCAUGAUCUGACAUGCACUCAAAGCAAGUCCCAUAACUCUACUCUUUUUUUUUUUUCAAAAUUAUGCCCCUUUUUCAACUUAGCAGUUUUUUGUUAAAUCUUUGUAUGUAAUCUCAGUAUCCACUAAUGGAAUGGAUUGAAACUUCACACACUUGUUCACUGUCAUGCUCUAACAUGCACUGUGAAGGUCCCAUAACUCUACUUUGCAUUUUUACUGUAAAAGUUUCCCAUUUAAGAAACUGUGUUUUGUUUUUUUUCAUCUAGUUAGUAAUUUUACGAAGUGGAACUUCUGAAGUUUCUCGGGUUUUUGAAAAAAAAAAAAAUUUUUAAUCACUUCAAGCUACUUCAUAAAUUUACGAAGCUGUUAUUUGUACAUAAAUUAACAAAUUAUGGCAGAUUUACAUUUCUUCACAUUUGUAAAUUUUCCACAAUUUUCAUCUUGUUCGUAAAUUUACGAAGCUGUUAUUUGUACAUAAAUUAACAAAUUAUGUCAGAUUUACAUUUCUUCACAUUUGUAAAUUUUCCACAAUUUUCAUCUUGUUCGUAAAUUUACGAAGUGGAACUUUUGAAGUUUCUCAUAUAUUUGCAAAAUAGAAAUUGUAGUCACUUCAAGCUACUGCGUAAAUUUACAUUUCUUUGCAUUUUUAAGUUUUUCACACUUUUUCAUCUUGUUCGUAAAUUUACGAAGUUGAACUUUUGAAGUUUUUCAGAUUUUUUCAAAAUUUACAUUCCUUAUAUCUUUCACUUUUUUGGCUUGUUUGUAAAUUUACAAAGUCCAGCUGCUUAACUUUCUCAAAUGUUUGCAAAAAAAAAAGAGAAAUUUAAUCAGUUUGAGCUACUUCGUAAAUUUACGAACAGUGACAAAUGCACAUUUCUUUUUUAUACAAAGCUGAUUGUUCCAUUUUUAUUUGUUACCUUAUUUCGUGCCAAGCCUUGGCAAACUUCGUAAAUUUACGAACUACUUCUUUUGAACACUUUUAAAAUCCAAUUUAUGUAUUAAUUUAUAUGAAAUUUUUACGACUUAUUCCAUUCGUAAAUUUACGAACAUGUCUUAAUUAAUAAUAUCAUAGUGCUAAAACUUAAGUAUGUUUUUAUUUCUUAUGAAAUGCCAUUUAACGGUUGUUUGUAAAUUUACGAACUUUAUUAUAUUUGAAAAUUUCCAAAUAACAUCGCUUUUGGCAAACUUCGUAAAUUUACGAACUACUUCUUUUGAAGACUUUUAAAAUCCGAUUUAUGUAUUAUGAAAUUUUUACGACUUAUUCCAUUCGUAAAUUUACGAACUUGUCUUAAUUAAUAAUAUCUUAGCGCUAAAACUUAAGUAUGUUUUUGUUUCUUAUGAAAUGCCAUUAAACGGUUGUUCGUAAAUUUACGAAAUUUAUUAUAUUUGAAAAUUUCCAAAUAACAUUUUUAUUAUGUAUUAUAUGUAUUAUAUAUAUAUGAAAUAAAUGUAUCAUGACAUGUCA